rnacentral:miRNA from 1 species
AUCGACUCGUUUCCUCAGCCCC